CAUGGCCAAGUCGAGCGGACAGAUGGGAGCUUGCUCCCUGAUGUUAGCGGCGGACGGGUGAGUAACACGUGGGUAACCUGCCUGUAAGACUGGGAUAACUCCGGGAAACCGGGGCUAAUACCGGAUGGUUGUUUGAACCGCAUGGUUCAAACAUAAAAGGUGGCUUCGGCUACCACUUACAGAUGGACCCGCGGCGCAUUAGCUAGUUGGUGAGGUAACGGCUCACCAAGGCAACGAUGCGUAGCCGACCUGAGAGGGUGAUCGGCCACACUGGGACUGAGACACGGCCCAGACUCCUACGGGAGGCAGCAGUAGGGAAUCUUCCGCAAUGGACGAAAGUCUGACGGAGCAACGCCGCGUGAGUGAUGAAGGUUUUCGGAUCGUAAAGCUCUGUUGUUAGGGAAGAACAAGUACCGUUCGAAUAGGGCGGUACCUUGACGGUACCUAACCAGAAAGCCACGGCUAACUACGUGCCAGCAGCCGCGGUAAUACGUAGGUGGCAAGCGUUGUCCGGAAUUAUUGGGCGUAAAGGGCUCGCAGGCGGUUUCUUAAGUCUGAUGUGAAAGCCCCCGGCUCAACCGGGGAGGGUCAUUGGAAACUGGGGAACUUGAGUGCAGAAGAGGAGAGUGGAAUUCCACGUGUAGCGGUGAAAUGCGUAGAGAUGUGGAGGAACACCAGUGGCGAAGGCGACUCUCUGGUCUGUAACUGACGCUGAGGAGCGAAAGCGUGGGGAGCGAACAGGAUUAGAUACCCUGGUAGUCCACGCCGUAAACGAUGAGUGCUAAUGUUUUAGGGGGUUUCCGCCCCUUAGUGCUGCAGCUAACGCAUUAAGCACUCCGCCUGGGGAGUACGGUCGCAAGACUGAAACUCAAAGGAAUUGACGGGGGCCCGCACAAGCGGUGGAAGCAUGGUGGUUUAAUUCGAAGCAACGCGAAGAACCUUACCAGGUCUUGACAUCCUCUGACAAUCCUAGAGAUAGGACGUCCCCUUCGGGGGCAAAAUGACAGGUGGUGCAUGGUUGUCGUCACCUCGUGUCCUGAGAUGUUGGGUUAAAUCCCGCAACGAGCGCAACCCUUGAUCUUAGUUGCCAGCAUUCAGUUGGGCACUCCUAAGGUGACUGCCGGUGACAAACCGGAGGAA
rnacentral:rRNA from 1 species